rnacentral:misc_RNA from 1 species
GUUCAGUUUCCAUGUAUGCUACUUCUGCCUCAUAUGACCUGUGUCUCAAAAACACCUUUGUUCCAGCAUAAUCAUAACGUUUAGGGCCCAUCCAACGGUAUUUUUCACUCUCCGUAAUAACAUCUCCAUAAAAUCCAUACCCAGCAAAAGAAGCUGCAUAGCGUACGCAUGGUUCAACAUUUGAUGUGGAUGACGUUUUCCAUCUCACAACUUGAGCUAUAUCAAGGUACACCCUUUUACCCAAGACAAUGUGCAAUGCAGAUGUUAUGGGAUCUCGUAUUCCAGUUGUACACAUCACAAUGGCAU